CAUAGACCAUUUAAGAUGUGUUCCCGCAUUGGAAAUCUCAAAUGACACUAUGGCCUGUUCCUUUCAUCACUGUGGUAUUUUCUAAUGACAGGUUUCUGACAAAUAAAAGGUAAUUUGUUACCUUACCGUUCCUGCCUUCAAAACACUGCCAUGGGAAGCUGUUACAGCCAUCACAAUCCCUCCCUGAAAGUUAGCCAGCUUAGCAAUCGGGAUUCGUUUGAACAUUUGUUCAAAACAAACAGUGGGGAGCUGGUGUGGUCCUGCUCUUAUACAAAAUGGCUACAAGGUAUUAAAAAUGUUAGUGGCUUCACUGACAAGACUAACUUCAGCAGUUCCAGAGAUCCACAUCGACGGAAUGGUAUUCUUGUUAAACCUGAUAACACAGAUGGUCAGCAUUUCAGUGUGAAGUUACCUUCAAUGUUUGAAGCUGUAGUCUCCAACAAAACCGCCUCUUGUACAAACUCUGUAGUUAUCAAUGGGCUGAAUCCAUUUACCACUGCUACAACCACUAUGCCGGUCCGCUGCUGGGAUUCUUUGCCUGUCAUGUUCAAAGAGGCUUGUAUUAUUAGUUACCAUGACAACUUAGCUGUACUUCAACUGAACCCAUCCCGAGAAGAUCUCAUGGCUGUAUUCUAUGUAUUGGAUUUAACUCAUCAGUUGGCACUAGCCGAUUUCAGCAUUGCUUACUAUCUUCGGCGCUGGUAUGAAUGCUACAUAUCACCAAAAAAGAAAAGGAUUCUGUUGCGACCAGACCAUACCACUCGUGUUCUUGUAAUGCCAGACAAUUAUUUUCUACGCAAAAUGAGAGUUCACCCUUCAAAUGACAUUACUGUAAGUACUGUGUCACCGUCACUUCGUGCCAAGGUACUUACUUUUAAUGCCCAGGCUGGGGACAAUUGCAUUGUUGUGAGCUGGUGCCGGUGUAUCCAGGUACAACAUAUUGAAUCUGGAGAAAUUGUAAAAUCUGUCGAGGGACUUUUAUUACGAGCAGGUAUUCAACAAAUUCGCUCCAGUCAAUCAGGAGAUUUCCUUGCUGUACGCUGUGUCCAUCCUGUCCAUACAAAAGAAUACAAAGUAAAUGUUGUUGGAGUAAUAGACUAUCACAAGCUCGAAUUGCUAAUGACUAUCGAUGUAAAAGGUUGUUACUGGCCAUUUUCAGAUGUAGUUAAUCUACAAGUAUUUCCCCGUUUCUCACCCAGUGAAGCUUGCAUUGCUGUUAUGAAAAACUUACCUUACAAACGGCAGGUCUUCACAUAUAAACUGCCUAUCGUUCACCUCAACUUACAGUAUUUAUGUCGCCGAAGGAUUCUCCAUUUAGUUUCAUUAAAGGAUGUCAAACAUUUACCUCUCCCAAGUCGGCUUAUUGAGUACCUAACUUCUUAUAUUGAUGUGUGAGGAAGAUUUUUACCAAACAAGGUAGGGGUGUUGGCUCUACGCAAACCCAUGAUUAUCUCUGGGAAGAGGUGUUCUGUAUUAGUCCGACCUCUAUCCUUCGACCUGUCCAGCAUGGGAGGCCCUACUAGGAGCUUACACUCCACUGGCAUAGCUCCCAGAUCACACUGAGGCAUACAACCACCACUCCAUGUAGUGUCAUCAGGUUUCUGUUCACAUUAUUCACAGCUGCUAACAUAGUUUUUGGUAUACACCUACAAGAACGCUGAAUUCAGGAGUGUUUUG
rnacentral:misc_RNA from 1 species